rnacentral:rRNA from 1 species
UACGUAGGGUGCAAGCGUUAAUCGGAAUUACUGGGCGUAAAGCGUGCGCAGGCGGCUUUGCAAGACAGAUGUGAAAUCCCCGGGCUUAACCUGGGAACUGCAUUUGUGACUGCAUGGCUGGAGUGCGGCAGAGGGGGAUGGAAUUCCGCGUGUAGCAGUGAAAUGCGUAGAUAUGCGGAGGUACACCGAUGGCGAAGGCAAUCCCCUGGGCCUGCACUGACGCUCAUGCACGAAAGCGUGGGGAGCAAACAGG